CGAGGGCUACGGCAGCAAGGAGCUGAGUCAGGCCAUACUUAGCCUUAGCGGCAACAAAAUCAAGGACAAUGGCAGAAGAGGAGUAAAUGAUGAAGGUUAUGCCGAUGGAGGCGUGCUCAAAGUUACGAAGAUAGGGAGAUGGGAUGGUGCCAUCCGGAUCAAAGCGAUAGUGCCGGAAGAGUUCUGCGGACAUGUGGUAGGAGCUCCCUAUCAUGACGAGAAGGAGCUCCAAGUACCUUAUUUUUGGGGCGGGGAACCAUGGGUGGAUAGUGAAGGAUUUGGAGUUUUGGACAUGGAGCUUGAUGUGAUUAAAGAGGUGCCACAACCCAAUGAGAAAGAACCCUAGCCCUGGAAAAAAGUGCCCUAUCAUAGAACUCGCCAUGUGAGCUAGAAAGAACUACCAAAGUGCCCUAAAACUCAGUUUUUAUGCUUUGAGGAAGACGUGAGAGGCUUGUUUGAGAUGGGGUUUUGAAGGGGUUUGGUCUUUGAUAUGGGAUUAGGGAGUUCUAUACUUCUAUUUCAAUUUGCAGUGCUCAUUAGGGUUUGAAGAAGAAAAGAGAGGCUUGUUUGAGAUGAGCUUUUGAAGGGGGUUUGAGGGGUUUUGGACGGGGUUGAUGAGGAGUUCUAUUUCAAUUUGCAGAGCUCAUUAGCGUCCUGCAUUGUAGGUGUGCCUUGGGAAGUAGGGGUAUUUAUACUUGAACAGUGAACAUGGCUGCCUUUUCUCUUUGAGGUAAAGAAUAUACAGUAGAAUGGUAGGGCAAUCCUAUUGGAUUUGAUUCAACUAAAUACUAAUUUUCAUGUACCCAUUUUGUUUAUGGAGAGAAAUAAUUUGUUUGGUAGAAAAGAAUUAGCAACACAUUAAAGAAAAUUUAGAAAAUGGGUUUUUAAAGGAAGAAAAUAGUUUUAAUUAUUGGCCCAUCAUUUGGUUUGUGGAGAGAAAAAUAAUUUGUUUCAUAGAGAAGAAUUACCAACACAUUAAAGAAAAUUUGGAAAAUGGGUUUUUAAAGGAAGAAAAUGGUUUUUAACUAUUAGUCCAUCAUUCUCGAUAUAAUUAUUAUGACCUAAAAAAUCGAUGAAUCCCUAAUUUGUAUUAAUCUUAGUCUCAUACAUGGACAAAUGAUGAAAUCCUAGAUUGUAUUAGUCUAAGUAUUACUUAAAAUAUAGUACAUUAAUAACAUAAUAAUUUUUUCAAAAGCAGGUAUCUUAAAUGUUUUAUAUAUCCUAACAACGUGGGCAAAAAUAGUUUGUAACUCAAUUAUCAAAUAGAGCAUUCUCAUCAUGAUCUUCAUCACUCACGCAUCAUCACGGUUUCAAUUUUUUUUUUUUUAAUACUGGAUUGAGCCUCAAUAUGUCAUGUAACAGUAGUCAUUUAUUCCAUUUUCAGAGCACAAGUGGCUUAGAAUAUCCACCAAUUUGGGGUUUAAGGCAAGGGGGCACCGCAUUUGGGUGUUGCUUUUCAUUAUAAGAAACGUUAGCAUAAGAAAGCUAGGUACGUACCCUUGGAAAUUGAUUGAUAACGUGUAGCCUUGGUGCAUUAUAAUCAAUUCAAAAGUUCAAUUAACAAUUUAGAAUUUUAGGGUAUCUGGUGGUAUGGUUUCAAGAAUUUAUUUCACACUCUGAACUUGAUUGAAACUCUCAUGCACGGUAAAUUAAUUUACAUGAUUUUAAAGUUAUGAUCUCAAAACAAGAGAACAAAGAAACUUGAAUCAAUAAAAAUAAUUGAAUAAUUACAUAGAUCGCGACAUGAUUUCAAGAAACUAAUACAUAACUUUCCAAAUAUUGCUUAUUGUUUCAACACACAUUGGAACACAAGUGAAAUCACCCAAAUUAGCUCAAAGCAAUUCAUGCAACCCAAACAACCUCACAUCAAUUUCCCUCAAAUCAAAUUCAUUUUCCCUCUAUUCCUUGUUUCCACUAAGCCAACAUUAAUCAUUGCUGGCCUAAUAAUUCAACAAAGAAUAAUGGAAUUCCCACCAAAUUAAUUAUUAACAAUUUAUAUAUAUAUAUAUAUAUAUAUAUAUAUAUAUAGAUAUAUCUUCCUUAGUUAUCUUGCUCUUCUCCUACAACCCAAGAUCAUCAUCGUCAUCAUGAUGUUCCACUCCUUUCUCUUCUUUCUUCUCCCAUGACAAGUUCUUGACCUUUUUUCCAUAAGCGUCAACCAAAAACAAGUAAAAGGACACUGAAAAUAUCAUGAUAGCAAUAAGAUACCAGCUGAACUCUAUGUUUAUCAGCGCUUUAGCACGAUGGAGCGACUCAUCAUCAUGGCAGCGAGCCUCCUGGUGACCACCCUCAUCCCAUAAAAGAGAGCACCCUUUAGGGAUAAAGCCUGGAGUCCAAAGCAUAACCCCUGUGGCCAUCAGCCAAACCCCAAGGAAAAGUAUACAAAGAGACCUAGAAAAACCAAGUAUAAAGCUCUUGGGAAAGCCUAUUGCCAUGAGACUAGUUGCCAUGGAGACAAGCGUGAGCAUCUGCAGAAACAAAUGGUAUUGUCCUUCCAGGCCGGCGUGGUCGGUGGAGUGAAGGCGAAACAUGAGUAACUGCUGGCCGAGGGCUACGGCAGCAAGGAGCUGAGUCAGGCCAUACUUAGCCUUAGCGGCAACAAAAUCAAGGACAAUGGAAAAAGAGGUGUAAACGAUGAAGGUUAUGGCGAUGGAGGCGUGCUCAAAGUUACGUAGAUAGGGAGAUGGGAUGGUGCCAUCCGGAUCAAAGCGAUGGUGCCGGAAGAGCUCAGUGAACACGUAGUAGGAGCUCCCUAUCAUGAUGAGAAGGAGCUCCAAGUACCUUAUUUUUGAGGCGGGGAACCAUGGGUGGAUAGUGAAGGAUUUGGGGUUUUGGACAUGGAGCUUGAUGUGAUUAAAGAGGUGCCACAACCCAAUGAGAAAGAACCCUAGUCCUGGAAAAAAGUGCCCUAUCAUAGACCUCGCCAUGUGAGCUAGAAAGAACUACCAAAGUGUCCCUAAAACUCAGUUUUUGUGCUUUGAGGAAGAAGAGAGGCUCGUUUGAGAUGGGGUUUUGAGGGGGUUUGAGGGGUUUUAGAUAUGGGGUAAGGGAGUUCUAUACUUUCAAUUUGCAGAGCUCAUUAGCGUUUGAGGAAGAAGAGAGAGGCUUGUUUGAGAUGGGCUUUUGAAGGGGUUUGAGGGCGUUUUAGAUGGGGUUGAUGAGGAGUUCUAUUUCAAUUUGCAGAGCUCGUUAGGGUCUGCCCGCAGGUAGUGUGCCUUGGGGAGUACGUGUAUUUAUACUUGACCAGUGAACAAGGCAGCCCUUCUCAAUGAGGUAAAAAACAUAUAGUAGAAUGGUAGGGCCAAUCCUUUUGGAUUUGGUUCAGCUAAAUACUAAUUUUCAUGUACCCAUAUGUUUAUGGAGAGAAAAAUAACUUGUUUGGUAGAGAAGAAUUAGCAACACAUUAAAGAAAAUUUGGAAAAUGGGUUUUUUUAAAGGAAGAAAAUAGUUUUAAUUAUUGGCCCAUCAUUUUGUUUAUGGAGAGAAAAAAUAACCAAAUUUUAGAUAUUGAAGGCUAGCUAGAAACAUAUUAAAGAAAUUUAUUUUAUUUUAUUUUAUAAAAAAUAUUAAUUUUAUGAAAUAGAUUAUUCUAAAGAUAUAAGUACAUUGAUAGUAGAAAAUAAAUUUUUUAAUCCAAUCUUGAUUCAAUAUGAAAUGUUUUUGUAUCAAAUCUUACCAAAGAAACAUACUUCAAAAGUGCAUUAAAUUCAACAGUUAUACUAAUAAAUAAAGAUUAUAGCAUGUGAAGAUGUAAAUAUACCAAAUUGUUCAUCUCGGCCUCUCAUCGAUUUAGAUUGCGUUUGACAAUGCUUUUGGAAAGUGUUUUUAGUUUUUUUAAUACUUAAAAUUUUUUAUUUUUCAAGUAUUAAAAAAACUAAAAACACUUCUUAAAAUUACUAUCAAACGCACUCUUAAUAUUGUCAUUACAAGUUCUAUUAAAGAUGAGAAUUAUGAACUUAUGUUUUGGGUCUAAUUUUAUCUCCUUGGUCUUUUUUUUCAAGUAUAAUUUGAAGUUUGAUUGAGCUAUUAUUAGUUACUUUGGAUUCCUUUUUCAAGUAUAGCUUAAUAAUGACCUAUUUCAUGGUUAUUUUUAAUGUACUUAAAGACUUAUUAAAUGAUAGUUGGUGUCAAACUAUUUGCCUUUUAGUGGAUUGCAGGGGUUUUUUUGAAAUGAUAAUCUUCUCUUAAUGGGUUUGAUUCUUGUCAUGUUUAGAUUUAGUAAGAGGGGUUUGAUUAUAAUAUCUAAAGGUACUUUCAAUACAUACGGAGAAGACAUCAUCAAUAAGAUAUACCUCAUAUACAAUUUUUGGUUUUAUUGUUUUAUUGUUAAGGAUGAUAAUGAAUGAGUUUUUUUAGGCAUUUGUCUUGAUCUACCUCUAAUGAGAUGAGUUUGAAAUUUAAAUAAACGGAUUAGGGAUGAGUUUGAGAUUUAAAAAAAAAAAAUCCUAAAUGGGUUCAAGCAUUGCCUUAUUCCGUCCCAUCGCACCCAUAUUAUAUAUAAAAUUAAUUUUUAUAUAAAGAUGAUUUGAUAUAAAGCUUGUGAUACAAUAUUUAUAUUGAAAUCGAAUGUAAUAUUCAAUUAAAUUUUCUUGAGAUUGAAAUAUGAAUUUUUUUUAUUCCUUUAAAAUUUGUAUAGAAUAAAAUGAAAUAUAAUAGUAAUACAAACAAUAGUACCUUUUUACUAAAACUCUUUUUAAAUUUUGUACACAUGCAAACAUGCUUAUUGAGACAUGAAAAAUAAAAAUAAAAAUGAGGCUUAGGUACAAAAUAAGAUUUUAUUUUCUCCUUCAUAUUAUAAUGUACAAUGAAAUAUGUGAACUAUAAUGCAAAUAUAUAAUUAUGUUUUUUUUUCUUUUUUAUUUUUUAUUUUUAUAACAUUUAUGUACUAAUAGUGCAUUUGAGAAUGUUUUUACUUGAAAUUUUUUUUCUAAAAGUGUUUUUAGGAGAAUUUUUUAUCAAGUGUUUUUCCAAAAAAUACUACAAAUGACUUUUUUUUUUUUUUAAUAUUAUAAGUAAUUUUUCAGAUUUUUAAAAGUAUUUUUUAAAAUUUAUUAAACACUUAUUUUUUUUCUUAUAUAUAUAAAAAGGUGAUGCAUGAAAGCUUUCUUGUAGCAUCACCAUUGAUAUUUUUGUUAUUUUAUUUUCGAAACAUUAUUAUUAAAAAGAAAGGAAUUAAAAUUAUUUUCAAAUAAUUGUGAGAUUUUUUAUUUGGAUGUAUUUUGUUUUCUUCUUCAAAUUAUAUUACAAUAAAAAACUCUGAAUUAUAUUUGAGUGACAAACAAUUCAACCACAAUUAUUUCUUGGCAUUUUCUUCUUUAUUCCUCUAACGUUCAUUUAAUAUAAUAUCACACUUCAAGUUGAUUCGAUAUGAGACUUCUCAUAUAAGAUUUAGAUGUAAAUUAUUCAUACAAAAAUCAGUGAAAUUUAAAUUAAAUAUCAAUAUAAAUAUAUAUAUAUUAAAAAUGAAAUUUCUUUUAUUUUUAAAACAUUAUCCUUGUGUAGUUAUCUUUUCUUCUUCAAGCAUCCUCCAUGCAUGUGGGGUUACUAUUAGAUAUGAUUUUGUUUUCUCCUUCCAAGUUCUCGCAAUUAAUAAAUACUAUUGGAUACAAUACAAAUAUACAACUCGAAAAUGAUUAUUUCUUGUCAUUUUCUUCUAUAUUUCUAUGUCCUUGAUUUAACACAACACCUAUUCAAAUUGAUUUAAAAUUGAGGCUUAUGAUAUAAGAUUUGAAUUUAAAAUCCAACAAAUAUUUGUCAAACAUCAUAUAAACAAUAAACCAUUGGAUCCAACAAACAUAUUAUUAGUAUAUACAUUAAAAAAAUACAUAAUAGAUGUUGGAAAUAACUUUGAACUUAAUUCAAGUACUUUUUGGUUGACAAAUAAGCUUAGGAGUAGAAGAUUUUACCUUGCGCUAUGUUUAGUUCUCAAAAAGUACUAAGAAAAGAAAAAAAUAAUGUUAAGGAAAAUGAUUUUCUUAUAUUUAAUUUCAUGAGGGAAGAUAGAAAAGAAAUCAAAUAUAAUUAAAACUUAAUUAGAAAUUUAUAUAUUUUAAAAUUAUUUAAUAUUUGAAAAAAAUAUGAAAUGAGUUUAAAGUAGUAUGUAAUAAUAAUUGAUUAAUUUUGAAUAUAUUUUUAUUUUAUUUUAUUUUUUAUUUUUUCUAUUUUCUUUCCCUCACAUUUUCUCUCAAAAUUUUCAAGAACCAAAUAUUGCGUUAGAAUUUGUUGAGAAGAAGAAAAAUGGGAGAAGAAAUGAAAAGGUGUAGUGUGGAAUAGAAGAAUGAUCAGAAUCAUAUCCCACAGACAACAAUAAUAUUGAAGUUUGUUGGGAAGAAGAAAAAUGAGAGAAAAAGAUAAUUGUAUUUUGUUCCUCAAUUUGUAGCAACCAAAUAGAUAGGUAAAGAUAAUUGAACUUCCUUUUAUUUGACUAUCUUUCUUGCCGACUAAAUAAAAACCUAAUAAGCAGAUACGCAGGAAAAACAUUAGAGUUUUGCCAUGGCAGACUAUACAUGGCUCAAGCUAGGCUUCUUCUUCUCAGGUUAUUAAGACAAAUCUUCAUUUUUCAUCGAGCUACGUUUUAAUUCCAAAAAUAUUUGAGGGAAAAUGCAAGGAAAAAAAUAAAGAGAAAGAAUGGAGGAAAAUAAAAAUAUAUCUAAAGUUAUUUAAUUAUUUUUAUAUGUAAUUUCAAAAUUAUUUCAUUUAUUUGAACUCUUUUAUAUAAAAAUUAAAUAAUUUGAAAAUAUAUAAAUUUUAAAGUAAUUUUAAUUAUAUUUGAUUUUUUUGUUUAUCAUAAUGAAAUCAAGAAUAAAAACUUCUUUAAUAUUUUUUUCUUCCUUUGAUACUUUCUUGGAAUAAAAUAUAGCAUUAGGCUCCUCCUAUCAAUAUAACCAUGAGAGAUUGGAGCUUUAGUUCGGCGAAACACUAGAGAGAACGACGUCCAUUCCUUGAUUAAAAAAAAGAAGUGCUUAAGACCUUGGUAUUAUACCAAUUAUUAUCAUAAAAGUAAAAGACAAUAAGUAACUUUUAUGCAAUUGACCUUUUGAGACAAUUGAAACUCAAAUAGUCAUCUUUCAUGCUUCAAAAUGUAUUUCCUUUAUUUGGAAAAAAUACAACCAAAUAUUACGAAUAGUCUUCUUCCUUGGGUUUUCAUAAUUUUUGGGCAACUAAAUUAUGGAUACUUCCUCCUUAGUCUUCUUGUGGAUGUGCCGAUAGAGGACACGUUACUAUGAGCUAACGAUUGAGGUUGUAUCUUAGAUCGAUUAUUAUUCAUUAACAUGACACGUAGAGAGGUAAUAACAACUUUAGGACAAUGUGUUACCACUUGCCUCAUCAAGCUAAGUCAAUUUUUCUUUAACUUUGAUUUGAAUUAUUAUAUUAUAGAUUUAAGGAAGAACUUAAAGAAAAAAAAAAUAGAAAGAAUGUAAAAGAAUACUUAAUUUUUCUUAACAAUCUAAAACUACUAUUCCUUCGAGGGAAAAAGGUAUUUUUUAAUGAUAUAAUUUGACAUCUUUAUUUUUUUAUUUACAAAAGAUCUUUGACAUCUUUAUUACUUUAUUUGCAAAGACAAAUAACUUUGAAAAUUCUCAAACUUUAUUUUUUUUAUUGUGAGUACUUAGAAAGCUAAUUUAUUCUAUUAGUAUUAUUUAAAAAAAAACUUGUAAGGGAACACAUGUUUUGAUACAAUAAAAAAUAAAUAAAUAAAUAAUUUUGAAACUUGAAAGUAUAAGAUUCAGGUUCUAUAGUAAAGUUAUAUAUAUAUUUAUAUCAGCUGACUUCCUCAAGCACCUCAUUUGUGCCUAGGAAGUUCUUUGAGAGGAUCUAAGAACAUAAAAUUAGAUUGAAUCCAUAGAAAUGCGUAUUUGAAGUGACAAUCAAUAAGCUACUUGGGUUUAUGGUUAGUCGGAGAUAAUGCUAUCCUACGACAUGAAUUUCACGAUAGGCACAAUCCUUAAAAAGUUUUUCGCAAUCGAAUACCAUCAUACCUCUUUAAGGAACAAACUAACUACUUUGUGAAAAGUUUUCUCUAGUUGAAUACUAUUAUGCCCAUUUCACGAACAAAUCAUUUGCUAUAUCUAUACGUCAUUUGCUGAAAAAAUUUUAUUUAUUGGCUUUAUUUUAAGAAAUUUUAUUUGUUGGAUUUUUAUAUUUAAAUAUUUACUGCUUCAUUUGGAUUAUUCUUUGCUUAUAUUUGUUGUUACAUUUUGAUUAUUAUAAUAGUUAAUUUAGUGUUGGCAUAUAAUUUAAUUAUUGUUUCAUAGAAAACAUUUUAUUGCUAAAAUUACUUGAGUAAGUUACUGAAAAAGAUUAUAUUGGAAAGUAUUUUACUCUUAAAUUAUUUGAGUAAGUUGUUAGAGUUAUCUUAUUCAAAUAUUAUUUGUUGGAUUAUUUAUUGAGAUAGGUUUCUUUAUAGUUGGAAUUUAUUUUAUAAAGUUGAUAGAAUUUCCUUUGAAAUUGUGACCGUAACUUAUUAUUUAAAAGAAAAAAACUUUGAAUCAAUUGAUUUAUUAUUAACAUAAAUGUCUUUAUACUUGAAGACUAUUUUUACCCUUGUUAAUAAUAAUAAUAAUAAUAAUAAUAAUAAUAAUAAUAAAUCUCAUUUUGUUAUAAUGACUACCUUUGAAGUUGAAAAAAGUCAGUGGGUUCCACUUUUGAAGAUGACAAAAACAAAUGAAAUAUCGAUUAACUGUAUUAGGGUUUAUUUCCACUCUAGAAGAAAAGAAUGACACCAACCAAAAUGAAGAAUCCUCAUCCUCCUUAGCACUAGAACAAAUAAAUCAUCAUUGUCAUAAUCAGAUUUUUAGUCCACAUUACUGUAGGGACCUCUCUCCUUGAUGACACGUGGCACGCAUUUCUAUCCGGAUUUCCCCAAGAGGACAUGUGGCGCGCUUCCCCUAUCCGGACUCCCUCAGGGAGAGGCACACGACACUCGCAAACAUCGCAUCCGAACGACCGUCAUAUCACAUCCGGACGACCGACAUAUCCUAUCCGGAUAUGUUUGUCUGGAUCGUUGACUAAAGUAAGCAAAUCUUACUACGUCAUUCCGACAGCUUGCCACAGCCCACGUUCUGCCACCUGCAGAGCGAAAGGACAGGAAUGAUGGCAAGUCACCUCCCACGAUCUCUGACAGCCGCCCAUAGGGUGAUGAUGGCCCUGCCACCACCUAGAGGCAUCAUGACAAGCCAAAAAGUCUCCCUACCAUUAAAGAGGGAGACAGAGCUUCUGAUACUAUAUAUAUGGACCUUCACACAAGGAGGAAAGUAAGCUUGCUAUACCUAGUAAAAGGCCAACUGCUUUAUCUCUCUAACCAUGGCUGACAAAACCAUCGGAGGGUGUGUCCAGACACCUUGUCCGGACACCUUUUGCAGGGACGACUGAACUAGAAUUCUAUCUUGGUUGAAAGCGUGCGUCCAUUUGGCAGCUAUGUGGAUCAUUGGGACGCAAGGCCUCAACAACUACCACUAGUGCUAAAGAUCUUUGGAAUGCCUUCGAAACCCAAUAUGCAUGGUGGAGUUGAUGUGGGUAUAGAACAAUAUUUUAUAGUUUCUGAUUUCAAUAAGUUCAUCAUGGUAGAUGGAAAACCUAUAAGUAAUCAAAUUCAUGAGUUUCAAGAGCUUCUAAGAGGGGUAGAAAGAAAAAGACACAAUUUUAAUUUAAUGAAGACUUUAAAGUAUCUUGCCUUAUAGAUAAACUUCCUCUUUCAAGGUCCAACUUUGCUCAAUCUCUUAGACAUAAGAAAUGAGAAUUAACAUUGAUCCAAGUAAUUAAUUGAAGAAAAUCAUAGGUAAAAUGUUAAGCAAGAAAAUGAAAUAAAGUCAAAGGUAAAUCUAGUGGAGAUGUCAAAUAAAUCAAACUUUAAAAAUUAAUUUCGUUCUAGGGGAAAGAAUUUAAAAAUAAAUAAUAGAUAAAAUAAUAAUCAUCAAAAUCCUUACCAAAAUAAUCAAUCCCGUCAUCACUAACCAAACCACCAACCCAAUUAUGUAAAGGACAAAAGUAAUGGAAAGAAAGCUUGCUUUGUGUGCCACUAUUAUAAAAGGAAUAGGGAAUACAAGCCCAACAACAACAACAAACAAGGUUCAAGAGCUCAAAUUAAUAUGUUGAUGGAUGGUGAGAACUCAAGUGAAUAUUCUAUUAGUUAUAAUCUUGAUUAGCCCUUGAUUAAUUUUACCUAUUAUAAUAAAGAUUAGUAGUUAGAUUUUGGAGCUAAUGUCCAUAUAUGUCUUGAUCAUGCAUGUUUUAAAUUAUAUUGAACUCAAGUGGAGAAAGUGUGACUUUAAGAAAUGACUUCAUCACAUAUGUGCUAAGAAUAGCACAAGUAGACUUGAAGAUGACAUUUGGGAAGGUCCUAACUCUUAAAAAAGUGUAACAUGUUACAAGAGUGAGAAGAAAUCUAAUUAGUAUUCAUUCUUAGUCCAACAAGGUUGUAAAGUUGUAUUGGAGUCCAAUAAAGUAGUAAUUACCUACAAUAAUGUAUUCAUUGGACACAAUUAUGUAUGCCCUCUAUUUAAGUUGAAUGUACACUUAUUGGAUGAAAGUAAUAAAAUUCUUUUUUAUGUUUUCGAUAUUGAAUUUAGCAAUAAUUAGCAUGGUGGAUUGGAACAUGUGAGCCUAGGAAAGUUAAAAAGAUUGAUGGAUCUCAACUUAAUUCCUACGGCAAAUAUGGAUUUUAAACAUAAAUAUGAAAUAUGUAUACAAGCAAAACAACUAAAGAAACCUUAUAACCUAUAGUGAGAAAUACUAAACUAUUAGAAUUAAUGCAUGGUGAUUUAUGUGACGCAAAUCAACCUUCUAUUAGAGUUGAGAAUAAAUACUUGCUAACCUUCAUUAUUGAUCACUCCAAGUAUUGCUAUGUAUACCUUAUCAAAACUAAGGAUGGAGUAUUUGAAAAGUUGAAGUAAUAUAAGAGUGAAGUUGAAAAUCAGUUAGAAAGAAAAAUUAAAGUACUUGGAUCAACUAGAAGAAGUGUAUAUACUAGAACCAACUUAACAACAUUUUGUGAGAAACAUGGAAUAAUAUAUGAAGUCAUGCCAUCUUACUCACCUCAAUCAAAUGGUGUAGUUGAAAGAAAGAACUGCACUUUAAUGGAUAUAGUAAAUGUUAUACUUUUGAAUUCAUGUGCCCUUAAAACUUGGAGAAACAAUAUUAUCAUGUUACCUAUUAAUUAAAUAGAGGCACUAUUAAAGAUAAUGAAAAAGCUACUUUUGAAUUAUGGAAAAAUAGAAUUCUUAAAUAGAUAUAUUAAAAUUGUGGGGGUGUUUAUAAAAAAUAACUAUACCUAAACCUUAAAGGAAAAAAAAUAAGACCUAAAACUAUAGACAUUAUCUUCAUAGGAUAUGCUCAUAACCAUAAUGCAAAUUAGUUCCUAUUUGUAAAAUCUAAAGUUAAUGAGAUUUAUAAUAAUACAAUAAUUGAAGCUAAAGAUGCCACAUACUUUGAAGAUAUAUUUCCCUUUAGAACUAAAGUUUCUAAUCAAGUCAAUGAUAAACCAUCCAAUUCAAAGCAUAUUUUCAAUGACAUGACUCGCUUAAAUUUGGAUGUGGAACCUCAUGUUGAACCUAGAAGAAGUAAAAGAGGAAAAAUAAUAGAAAAAACUUCGAAGAUGACUUUUAUACUUGAUUAGUGAAAGGAUAAGUUAACCUAUCAAGAGGCUAUGACUUCUAUAAAUGCACCUUUUUUACUACUUUGAUACUUCUUCUCUGAUCUCUAGGAUUACAACUAUUAGAAUUUUGAUAGUCUUAGCAUCAAUCCAUAAUUUAGUAAUACAUCAAAUGGAUGUUAAAACCUUUUUUCUGAAUGGUGACUUAGUGAAAAAAAUAUACAUAGAACAACCUAAAGGUUUUAAGAUAAAAGGAUAAGAGCAUAAGGUAUGUACAUUAGUGAAAUGAUCAUUAUAUGGUCUUAAAUAAGCUCUAAAACAGUGGCAUGAAAAGUUUGAUAAAGUCGUUUUAGAUUAUGGGUUUAAAAUUAGUGAUCAUGAUAAAUGUGAAUAUAAAAUAGACUUAAAAGAAUGCAUCAUACUUUGUCUUUAUAUGGAUGAUAUUCUAAUUUUUGAAAAUAAUAUGGAAAUAGUGAAUGACAUGAAAGAUUAUUUGUCUACGAACUUUGAGAUGAAGGAUUUAGAAGAUGCACAUAUAAUAUUGUGAAUGAGACUUUCAAGAACAAGUGAAGGAAUAACUUUAGAUCAAUCAAAUGCCAUUGAAAAAUAUUAAAGAAGUUUAAUUACUUUGAUAGUAAAUUAGUAUCCACACCUUAUGAUUCCAAUAUGCAUUUGAAUAAUGUUGGAGAACCAAAAUAAUAAUUAAAGUACCCUCAAACACUAAGGUCUCUAUUGCGUAUUAUAAAUAAAAUUAGACCUGGUAUAGCAUAUGUAGUUGGGAGACUAAGUAGGUAUAUUCAUAAUCUUUGUUAAGGAAUGUUGGAUUCCUUUAGAAAAAGUCUUUAAGUAUCUCAAAGGAACUUUGACUUAUUCUUUAUGUUACAAAGGAUUCUCUAAUAUAGUGGAAGGAUAUAAUGAUGCAAAUUGGAUAAUUGAUAAUCUCGAUGCAAAAUCCACUAGAGGAUAUGUUUUUUAGAAGGUGCAACUAUUUCUUGGGGAUCUAAGAAACAAACUAUGAUAUCAAGAAAUACAAUGAAAUCUAAGUUAAUUGCACUAGAUACAACAUGCAUUGAGGUUGAAUGGAUUAAAGACUUACUAUUGGAUAUCCCUUUAUUAAGUACCUACAUGUAAUAUUUGUGCUUUGUGAUAGUAAAGCUAUAAUAGAUUUGGUGAAUCCAUCCCAUACAAAUAAGAAGAUGAAUAAACACAUAUAAAUGAGAUACAAAUUAAUAUGAAACCUUCCAAGUAAAAAUGUGAUAUCAUUGGAUUUUGUAAGAUAUAAAAAAAAUGUUGUUGAUGAGUUGACCAAGGGUUUUUCUAAGAAUGUUGUCCUAGAAUCAUCAAGAGGGAUAGAGCUUAAGUCCUUAAGAAAGUCACCUUUAAUUGGAGGUAAUCCAACCUUUGUGAUUGAAGAUCCCAUGAAGAAGGUUCAAUGGGUAGAAACAAUUCACACUGCAUGACUUAAUAACACUAUUUUUUAGGAAAUUUUUUUUCUCAUUUCUACGGUGAUAGUGCUUUUGAUGUGAUAUUACAUAGGGUAUUUCCUUGAAUGAGCCUGAGCUAGCUAGGAAAUUCUGCAAGGUAUAGGUCACAUGUACCCUUGAAAGACUUACCUAAAUAAGAAUCUUCUUGAGGCCACGACUAUAAGAGUAAGGUUUCCCUAGUAACUCUCAUGAGAAUCAAGAUACUAAUGCAUAGUCAUUAAUAGUACUAACUCGCUUGGAACCAAGUCCUAUACCAAUACAUGUAUGUGACAUAUUAAAGUUUGGCUCAGGGACUUAGACCUAAUUCAAAACAUAGUUUACUAUGGAUUCUCAUAUGGAAAUUGUCAACACUAAGUGUAGGUUCAAGUUUGGAAAACACCUAUACCUAUUACAUAGUAUAAAGUUGUCUAUUAUAAUUUCUCUAUUUAUUUAUUUAUUCAUGUUUAUUAUUAUUUUGAAGUUUUAAACCUUAUGAGGGAAUGUCAUAUUUUAUUUAAAAAUAUAAAGUUUUAAAACUUCUUUUUACAAAAAUAAAUAAAUAAAUAAAGGUUAAGAUUUGGUAUUAUAUCUUUUAUUGUUAUAAAGGUAAAAGACAAUGAAUGACUUUUAUUUUUCCAACCAUUGGAUUGAAUUUUAUAAGAUUUGAUUGGUUUUUAUGAUAUUUUAUGCAAUUGACCAUUUUAAAAUAAUUGAGACCCAAAUGAUCAUUUUCUCAUUCUUUAAAAUUCUUUAUUUGGGAAAAUACAACAAAAUAUUACAAAUCAUCUUCUUCCUUGAGUUUUCACAUUUCUUGGAUGGCUAGAUUAUGAAUAGGUUCUCUCCGUAGUCUUCUUGUCGAUAUGUCAUAGAAGGGACAUUGUUGUGAGCCAACAAUUAAGAUUGUAUUUUGGAGCAACUAUUUUUUGUUAAUAUUGCAUGUAGGUAGGUGAUAGCAGUUUUAGGGUAAUAUGCUACCACGUGCCUCACCAAGCCAUCUCUUCUUUAACUUUGUUUCAAUUGUUAUAUUAUAGUUUUCUAUUUUCAUGUUUUAGUGUUAAGAAAAAAAAAUAGAGAGAACACAGAAGAAUACUCAAUUUUCCUUAACACUUUUUAUGGUCAAAAUGAAACAUUUUUUUUGUUUUUUUGUCUCUCAAUCUUUACGCACUAGGCUUAGCUUUUUAAUUGUUAGGGGUCUGUUUGACACGGUAAUUAGCUUCUGAUGAAGUGUUUUUUUUUACGAAAAUUGGUACAACGAAGUGGUUAUCCCCCUUCAUAUGCUUGAAUUAUAGAACUAAUUAUUUAAAGAGAAACAAAGUACUCAAAUGACUUCAUAAAAUGAACUUUUUUUAUCAUUAACUUGGGAAAAAAAAAAACCUUUUGCAGCAAGUGCUUAUGGCAAUUCAUUCCCUAUCAAAUUUUUAAGAAAUCAAAUAAAAAAUUAAAAACCCUAAAAUUAGACUAUUAAGAAUAGUUGCAAAUUGGAAAGUCAUCAUGUUAGCUCAAGGUUUCUCCCAAUUGAGUUUUGAUGAUAAGAAAACAAGGUUAAUUGUAUUAAUAACUCAAUUAGGUUAAUUGUUUUAGGUUUUCAAAAAUUUAAAAUAAUUCAAGUUCAUUCAAUGAAUGAUCAUGGUUAAUGAAGAGUACUAGAUACUAUUGAAGACCCUUAAAACCAAUGUAAGAUUGUUCUUGUUGGUGCACUUCAAUCAAAUAAAAAAUUUCAUGUACUUGAAGGUUUCAAAAUCACCCUUUUAUGCUUUUAAAUUGAAUAUAUUUUAGUAAAAUUGGAUGGUUUCAUGUUAUCCUAUAAACCCUAACUUAAAUUCUUUCAAAUAUAGGGUUUAUGAAAUGGUUUGAAAACCUUCCUAAGGGUUUAUGAUAUCGAUAGGUUCUCAUUUCUACUAAAUUACAUCAACAAGUCAAGGUAAUGGGGAAUCGAUUGAGUUGUAGGAAUAAAAGCUUGUUGUAACUAUUUCAAGCAUGAGCCUCCACUAAUCGAGGACUAGUUGAGCAUAGAUUGUUCAACCGGUUGAGCAACCUAUUCCAAAUGAUCACCUAUUAUAGCAUUAAAUUCCCAAUGAUUGUUCAACUAAUCAAAUCAAUUGUUCAAUUUAUAGAACCAAAGUUGUGGAUUUUAAAGUUCUCAGGCUAUCCGUCUUUAUAGUGAUGGUUUUAAGAGCAUUUUAUGCAUGAAAAAUCGUAAGUUUUCAAUUACUUCCCUACCUACAAUCUUUUUUACGGUUCUUAAGUGUAACCUUUCUUUCACUUGCAAAUUCUAUAGCACACCAUAAAAUCAAUCCUAGUUUUUAUUGUAUUGUGAGCUUGAUUUGUUUCAUUAGAAUUGAGUGUUCUUCUUUCAUUCUUACUAGCUUCCAAAUUAGUGAUAUUUAUUGUUCAAAUGAGAUUGAUCAUUUGAGGUGACUUAUGAAGGUCGAUUAAAACCUUGGAAUUCAAUUGUAGACAUUAAAGACUUGAGAUUUUAUUGAUAAUAUCCCUUAAAAAUAAAUAUUGCUCAAUAUUUUUAUUUUUAAAAAUUUCUAUAAUAUAGUUGCUAACUAAUUUGGUAUUCAUGUAAUGAUUAUUCAAUCUAUUAAAAGACAUCAAAAGAUUUUUUUUCUCUUAAUAUUUGAAUAGUGAAGAGGUUGUACAUGAAACCAAUUAUAUUGGUACUUAACAACAAAAUGGUUGUCUUGAUACUUCACAAUAAAAUGAUGUGAUCAAAAGGAAAAUUAUAAAUGUAAUAGAUUUCUCCAUAUUAUUUAACUAUAUAAUGUAUUGUGAAUGCCACUCUCAAGUCAUUUAGAAUAAGACCCAUCAUUUUUAUGUGAGGCCAAAUGCUAUAUUUUAAUUGGAAUCACCAAAUAAUUGAAGUUAGAACCAUUUUAAAAGCAUUUUUAAUUAUAAUUUGCAUAAAAGUUUAACUAAUAAAAAAAAUAAAGGAAAGGAAUAAUUUUUAAAUAAAAAGUAAUUAUGUAAAUACUUAAUUAAUAUUUAAUUAUAUAUAUAUUAGACUAUUUAAACUUCACCAUUUCUAAUUUCUUGUUUAAAUUAUUAGUGAGAUGAAAAUCACUAUCACUUAGCAUCAUCCUUUCACUAAUGUGAAACUUCUUGGAUGUUGCCUUUGACUUAACGCUCAAGCCUCUCCAUGAAAUUCCUUCCUUAGGUCAAUUAUAAGAUUCCAUGUAGUGAUGUUACAUAUCAAUAUGAGUAACUCACCAUCCUUCCAUCAAGUCCUAAUCUCAAAACCAACGCCAUGUUAGUGGGGCCAAAGUCUAGGAAGUGCCCAAAUUUGAUCUUAAUUAACCCCUAAAGAAUUUGCACAGACUGUUACAACUCCAAAACAAAACAUCUUUGCAUCUUCCUAGAAGGAGCAAAGCACUUGAUGGAAAAGGGAUAUACUCUUUUUUUAUAUGAUAUGUCUAAGUUUUUCACUACAUGACAUGUAUUUUUUAAUGUUUUACAAUUAUUAUCUUUUAAAAUUAUUAAUUGAAUAGUGAAAUUGGUUACAUUAUUAGCAAAGUAUCUAGAUUCACAUUUAGGGUUGUGGUUGCUUCAAGAGUAAUUCUAAUAAAAAAAAACUUUUAACUUGUAGUGCUCUUAUUAAUACUACUUUGUCAGAAAUAUUUUUAUAGAGAAUCAGUCAAUAUUUAAAUAUAAGUAAAAAAAAAUUGAUAAUAUUUUUACAAUAUGUUACAUAAUAAAAAAAAUAUAAGUAAAAAAAAAAUUGAUAAUAUUUUUUACAAUAUGUUACAUAAUAAAAAAAAAAAGUAACUUUUAGAAGAUAUAUAUAUAUAUAGUACGAGUCUCAAAAUCAUUUCAAGUAAUUCUUCUAUUCUUAAAAGAUAUUUAAAUAUGAUUUUUAAAACUUUGUCAAACUUCGAAUUUUUUUUAUUAAAAAAAAUACUUUCAAAUAUUGAAAAACAUUUUUCAAUAUCCAAGAAUACCUUUAAUUUAAAUAGGAUUUUAAUACUUUGAAAGUCUUUUUGAAGACAUAAUAAAAAUGUCUCUUUUAAUAAGUUAAUAGACUUAAAUAAGAUUAAGAAAGAUAUUCAAAAGCUUCUUGUCAUGUUUUUAUUGGGAAAAGACUAAUCAAAAGGGACCACAACUCAACCAGUAUUAAGUAAAUGCUUUAAAGCAAUUGUCUAUCAUUGUUAUUUGAUCCAAAAUACCAUGUAAAUAUAAUAUUUUUAAAAUUUAAAACAAAAGCCAAUUACUUCCAAAAUCGAACUCAAAAGGUCAUCAAAAUUUUACAAUUUCUUUCCUAACAUUGUUAUCUUUUUGCUUAUUAUCUUCUAUAACACCACCAAAAUGAAUGCUUUAGCUUAAAGGAAUAUAUCAUCAAUAACACUAUAUGACACUAUUUAUGGUAAAGACAACUAAUAUUGUGACUUGUCCUAAGUGUUGAUAUGAAAUCAUUUCAUAUAAAAGAAAAACAUAAUGGAAUAUGAAAGAAAUUAAAUUUGUCAUAUAAGGAUAGGCUGAUAUGUAUUAAGCCUAAAAAUUAUAGCUUUCAUAGAAAGUUAGAUGAGAACAAUUAAUACUUAUAAGCAAUAACAAUUAGGAAGUUCAUUGUGUGUGUAACACUAAUCCCCACACUCUUGUUCUAAUAAAAAUUCUAUUUAUAUUGCAUUUUGCUAUUUAUUCACACAAUUAUUAAUCUCAAUGUAAUUAUUGUGUUCUAAAAAAUCAACGUAUCUCAUAUUUGUAUCAAUUAAGCCUUACAUGGGUGCAAUUAAUUAAUCCUUAAUUAGCAUUAGUCUAAGGUAUUAUUUAUUUUUUUAAUUUUUUCAUGAAAGUAAUCUACUUUCAGAAUUUAUAUUUUUUACUUUUUGUUAACUUAUUACUUUUUUUAAAAAAAAAAAUUAUUAAAUAAAAAAUUCAAAAUAUUUAGUUUUUUUUUAAUGCUAAAAACAACUUAUUAGUUUUUCUUUACUUCUUAAUACUUAAUAAAAAUAAAAUAUUUAAAAAAUAAAUAGUUUAAUACUUAAUACUAUUAUAUAUUAUUUAAUUUAAGUUCUAUGAAUAUGUGCCUCAAAAUCUCCUAAACAUAUCACAUAAUAAAUUUAGAAAAAAAAAAUGUAGUUCCAUGCAUGUACUCAAGUAUAAGAAAAUUUCAAAACCAUACCUUAUCCUAACCAUGAGUAGUUUGUUACUCAAUUAUCAAAUACACAUGGCAUUUCACAUCAUCAUAAUCACCACCCAUUAUGAUUUCUAUUUUUUUUUAUAAUAAAUUGGGCCUUACAUGUUACGUAAGGCAAGGUGGCAUAGAAUAUUCACCAUUUUAGGGUUUAAGGCAAGGUGGCACAACCAUUGGGCGUUGCUUUUCAUGGUAUAAAAUGUUAGCUCAUGAAAAGUACCCUUUGACAUUGAUUGACAAUUAAACGUGUGGCCUUGGAGCAAUAUAAUCAAUUCAAAAUUUCAAUUAACCAUAUGGAAAUCAAUGGUUUCUUGCUUAUGUCCUCGAGUCAAUACAAUUUUACACACAAAAGAAAAAUGAUGAGAUUGGAGAAUUCAUUUCACGUUGAAUUCAUGAUAUGUUACAUAAUUUUUUAUAAAAACAAAAUAAUGCUUCAAAUUAACUUCAAUAUUACAAAUUUUAGGCACAACAAAUUGCAUGAUUUCCAAAUUAUUCUCUCAAAACAAGAUAGUAGAAUAACUUAAAGCCAUAUUAAAUUGUGAGCAAUCGAUUAAAAUAAUUGAAUUGUGAUAGAAGAUCGGAUUUAGCACAUAAUUUUUAAACAAGAUGCAUGAUUUUAAGAAGUUAAUAAAUAACUUCCCAAAUAUUUGCUUAUUUUUUCUAUACAUCCAAACACAAGCGAAGUCACCCUAAUUAAGCUUAAAGCCACCAAUGCAAGACAACAAACAAUCUCAUACCAAUUUCCCCCAAAGCAAAUUCACUUCCAACUUUCUUCUUCUUCUCCUUCUUCUUAUUCUACCUUUCAAUGUCCAUGGGAGCAAAGGCCUGUCCCAUGUGAAUAAAUCCGAGCUUGGUCUUCUCCGGCGAUAGGGCUUCUCCCUCUUCUUCUUCUUCUUCCUUCCCCAAUGACCAGUACUUGACCUUUUCGCCAUAAACUUUAACUAAAAACAAGUAGAAGAACACUGAAAACAUCGCCAUACCGAUAACAUACCAGCUGAACUCUAUGUUUAUCAGCGCUUUAGCUCGGUGGAGCGACUUGUCAUCAUGGCAGUGCGCCACCUGGUGGCCCUCUUCCCAGCGGAGGAAGCACCCUUUAGGGAUAUAGGCUGGAGUCCAAAGCAUAACCCCCAUGACCAUCAGCCAAAGCCCUUGGAAAAGGAUACUAAUAGACCUAACAAAACUCAGUAUAAAGCUCUUGGGAAGGCCUAUUCCCAUGAGAGUAGAUGUUAGGGACAAGGAUAUGAGAAUCUGCAGAAGCAUAUGGUACUGUCCUUCCAUGCCAACAUGAUCUGUAGAAUGAAGGUGAAACAACAGGAGCUGCUGCCCAAAGGCUAUGCCAGCAAGGAGCAGAGACAGGUCAUUCCUCGCCUUAACACCGGCACGAUCAAGGGCAAUGGCUGAUGCCGCGUAAACGAGGAAGGUCAUGGAGAUGGAGGAGUGCUCAAAGUUGUGGAGAUGGUUAGAUGGGAUGGUGCCAUCCACAUCAAAAGGUUGGUGCCUAACAGGGCCAAUGAAGAGCUCCAUGGAUAUGGAGAUGGAGCACCCUAUCAUGAUCAGAAAGAGCUCCAAAUACCUUAUUUUUGAGGUGGGGAACCAUGGGUGACUAGUGUAGGAGUGGGGGUUUUGAGCAUGAAGCUUGAUAUGGUUAAAGAGGUGCCACAACCCAAUUAGAAAGAACCCUAGCCCUGGUAAAACAUGUCCUACCAAAGACCCCAUAUACCCUAAAUUUCAAGGGACAAUUUCAGGGGACAGGUGCCCUAAAACCUAGUUUUUGUGCUUUAAGGAGGAGGAGAUGAGCUUGUUUGAGAUGGGGUCUUGGAGGAGUUUGAAG
rnacentral:lncRNA from 1 species